GACGAACGCUGGCGGCGUGCUUAACACAUGCAAGUCGAACGGAAAGGCCCUGCUUUUGUGGGGUGCUCGAGUGGCGAACGGGUGAGUAACACGUGAGUAACCUGCCCUUGACUUUGGGAUAACUUCAGGAAACUGGGGCUAAUACCGGAUAGGAGCUCCUGCUGCAUGGUGGGGGUUGGAAAGUUUCGGCGGUUGGGGAUGGACUCGCGGCUUAUCAGCUUGUUGGUGGGGUAGUGGCUUACCAAGGCUUUGACGGGUAGCCGGCCUGAGAGGGUGACCGGCCACAUUGGGACUGAGAUACGGCCCAGACUCCUACGGGAGGCAACAGUGGGGAAUAUUGCACAAUGGGCGGAAGCCUGAUGCAGCAACGCCGCGUGCGGGAUGACGACCUUCGGGUUGUAAACCGCUUUCGCCUGUGACGAAGCGUGAGUGACGGUAAUGGGUAAAGAAGCACCGGCUAACUACGUG
rnacentral:rRNA from 1 species